rnacentral:rRNA from 1 species
AUACGGAGGGGGCAAGCGUUGUUCGGAAUUACUGGGCGUAAAGAGUACGUAGGCGGAUCAUUAAGUUAGAGGUGAAAUCCCAGGGCUCAACCCUGGAACUGCCUUUAAUACUGGCGAUCUAGAGCUCGAGAGAGGUGAGUGGACUUUCCAGUGUAGAGGUGAAAUUCGUAGAUAUUGGAAAGAACACCAGUGGCGAAGGCGGCUCACUGGCUCGAUACUGACGCUGAGGUACGAAAGCGUGGGGAGCAAACAGGAUUAGAAACCCCUGUAGUCC